rnacentral:rRNA from 1 species
UACGUAGGGGGCAAGCGUUGUCCGGAUUUAUUGGGCGUAAAGAGCGUGUAGGCGGCCAGGUAGGUCGGUUGUGAAAACUCGAGGCUCAACCUCGAGAUGUCGACCGAAACCAUCUGGCUAGAGUCCGGAAGAGGAGAAUGGAAUUCCCGGUGUAGCGGUGAAAUGCGCAGAUAUCGGGAGGAACACCAGUGGCGAAGGCGGCUUCCUGGCCUGUUCGUUGACGCUGAGGCGCGAAAGCUAGGGGAGCAAACGGG